UUCUUCAGCGCAUGGUCAGUUUUCUUUGAAAUAGACACGUCAUCUACGAGAAGUUGCACACAGUAUAAAAAGAAUGAGGUUGGAAGAUCUUUGUAGGCUAUGGAUAGGUAUUUGUUGAAAAUGCCCUGUUUCAUUUCUUGAGCCGUGGUUACAUCAAAAGGAACAAAGCACUUAGCUUGCUGAUCUAAUUUUUGGCUGAUUUGUUCUAUCUUUGUAGGCUAUGGAUAGGUAUUUGUUGAAAAUGCCCUGUUUCAUUUCUUGAGCCGUGGUUACAUCAAAAGGAACAAAGCACUUAGCUUGCUGAUCUAAUUUUUGGCUGAUUUGUUCUCUGCAGUCGAGCAGAACACCUCUGAGCUCUUCAUCUAUACCACCAACAGGAAAAGACAUGCC
rnacentral:lncRNA from 1 species